GUCUAUGGCCAUAACAUCCUGAACGUACCUAAUCUCUUCUGAUCUCAGAAGCUAAGCAGAAUACUUGUAGGAGAAAAAAGGAAACAGAGCUGAUAAAAUAACAUAAAUGCUGGGCA
rnacentral:rRNA from 1 species